rnacentral:rRNA from 1 species
GGAGGGGUGCAAGCGUUGUUCGGAAUUACUGGGCGUAAAGAGCGCGUAGGCGGCCUUUUAUGUCAGGGUGUGAAAGCCCUCGGCCUAACCGAGGAAGUGCGCCUGAAACUGGAAGGCUUGAGUACGAGAGAGGAGGACGGAAUUCCCAGUGUAGAGGUGAAAUUCGUAGAUAUUGGGAAGAACACCGGUGGCGAAAGCGGUUCUCUGGAUCGAUACUGACGCUGAGGCGCGAAAGCGUGGGGAGCAAACAGGAUUAGAUACCCUGGUAGUCCACGCCGUAAACGAUGGAUAUUAGGUGUUGCGGGCUUAUAAACUCGCAGUGCCGACGCUAACGCAUUAAAUAUCCCGCCUGGGGAGUACGGCCGCAAGGUUA